rnacentral:rRNA from 1 species
AUGCAAGCGUCGGCCAUGGAGCUCGUGCUCUUCCGGGAGGAGGGGGCCGUGGACGAUCGGCCGCAGCAGCACGGCGGUGCCGUCGUCAAGCGGAAGCGCACCAAGAGGCCGCGCCACCUGACGCCGCCGGCGGCCGCCAUGGCGUGCUCCUCCGCGUCCUCCUCUGAGAGCACCACCACCGAGGAGGAGGACAUGGCCCACUGCCUCAUCCUCCUCGCCCAGGGCGCGGCGCCGCCCGGAGUCGUCGUCGACUCGAGGCCGCCGCCCGCGACGGUGCCGCAGGAGGCCCGGCAGGGGGCGUCGUUGCUUCCUCCGCCCGGCCCUCUGCCGGCGCCGGCGGUGAUGUCGACGACCAAGACGGAGAGGUACACCAGCCGUAAGUACACGGAGGCGGCCACCACGGCGGACGGCGUCAGGGCUGGCUUCUACGUGUACGAGUGCAAGACGUGCAACAAGUGCUUCCCCACCUUCCAGGCCCUCGGCGGCCACCGCGCCAGCCACAAGAAGCCACGCCUCGCCGGAGCCGACGACGACACCGCCGCCAACGCCACCAGCGUCGCCAUCGCCAAGCUGUCCAAGCCACCGCCGACGAAGCCACCGCUGGUGCAGAUGACGACAGCGUCGCCACCACAGCCCCCGCCGCCUCAGGUCGACGCCGCGCCGGACGUGACCACCGUGCUGAGCCUCAACAACGGCGGCAGCGCCGUUUGCAACGCCGUCAACACCAACAGGCUCCGGGUGCACGAGUGCUCCAUAUGCGGGGCCGAGUUCGCCUCCGGGCAGGCGCUAGGCGGGCACAUGCGGCGCCACCGCCCGCUGCACGCGCCGGCCGAUCGCGUCACAACCACCACCGCUGCCGCGGUGACCGCGAUCACCGCGUCCACAACGAAGAAAGACAGCACCCCGGCCGGCAUCAACCUGGAGCUCGACCUCAACCUGCCGGCGCCGUCCGACGAGGAGUGCGUCUCACACCCGCCACCGCCACCACCACCAUCAUCGGCGCCACCGGUGGUGCUCGGCCUCGGGCCGUUCGACAGCGGCAAGAAACGGCUGAUGCUCACGGCCGCUUCCGCCGCGCUGGUGGAUUGCCAUUAUUGA